AUUGAACGCUGGCGGCAGGCCUAACACAUGCAAGUCGAACGAGUGGCGGACGGGUGAGUAAUGACUGGGAAACUGCCUGAUGGAGGGGGAUAACUACUGGAAACGGUAGCUAAUACCGCAUACCAUCAGAUGGGCCCAGAUGGGAUUAGCUUGUUGGUGGGGUAACGGCUAACCAAGGCGACGAUCCCUAGCUGGUCUGAGAGGUUGACCGGCCACACUGGAACUGGGACACGGUCCAGACUCCUACGGGAGGCAGCAGUGGGGAAUAUUGGGCAAUGGGCGCAAGCCUGAUGCAGCCAUGCCGCGUGUAUGAAGAAGGCCUUCGGGUUGUAAAGUACUGUCAGCUGAGAGGCGUUCCCCGCAGAAGAAGCCCCGGCUAACUCCGUGCCAGCAGCCGCGGUAAUAC
rnacentral:rRNA from 1 species